rnacentral:rRNA from 1 species
GAUGAACGCUGGCGGCGUGCCUAAUACAUGCAAGUCGAGCGAACGGACGAGAAGCUUGCUUCUCUGAUGUUAGCGGCGGACGGGUGAGUAACACGUGGAUAACCUACCUAUAAGACUGGGAUAACUUCGGGAAACCGGAGCUAAUACCGGAUAAUAUUUUGAACCGCAUGGUUCAAAAGUGAAAGACGGUCUUGCUGUCACUUAUAGAUGGAUCCGCGCUGCAUUAGCUAGUUGGUAAGGUAACGGCUUACCAAGGCAACGAUGCAUAGCCGACCUGAGAGGGUGAUCGGCCACACUGGAACUGAGACACGGUCCAGACUCCUACGGGAGGCAGCAGUAGGGAAUCUUCCGCAAUGGGCGAAAGCCUGACGGAGCAACGCCGCGUGAGUGAUGAAGGUCUUCGGAUCGUAAAACUCUGUUAUUAGGGAAGAACAUAUGUGUAAGUAACUGUGCACAUCUUGACGGUACCUAAUCAGAAAGCCACGGCUAACUACGUGCCAGCAGCCGCGGUAAUACGUAGGUGGCAAGCGUUAUCCGGAAUUAUUGGGCGUAAAGCGCGCGUAGGCGGUUUUUUAAGUCUGAUGUGAAAGCCCACGGGCUCACCGUGGAGGGUCAUUGGAAACUGGAAAACUUGAGUGCAGAAGAGGAAAGUGGAAUUCCAUGUGUAGCGGUGAAAUGCGCAGAGAUAUGGAGGAACACCAGUGGCGAAGGCGACUUUCUGGUCUGUAACUGACGCUGAUGUGCGAAAGCGUGGGGAUCAAACAGGAUUAGAUACCCUGGUAGUCCACGCCGUAAACGAUGAGUGCUAAGUGUUAGGGGGUUUCCGCCCCUUAGUGCUGCAGCUAACGCAUUAAGCACUCCGCCUGGGGAGUACGACCGCAAGGUUGAAACUCAAAGGAAUUGACGGGGACCCGCACAAGCGGUGGAGCAUGUGGUUUAAUUCGAAGCAACGCGAAGAACCUUACCAAAUCUUGACAUCCUUUGACAACUCUAGAGAUAGAGCCUUCCCCUUCGGGGGACAAAGUGACAGGUGGUGCAUGGUUGUCGUCAGCUCGUGUCGUGAGAUGUUGGGUUAAGUCCCGCAACGAGCGCAACCCUUAAGCUUAGUUGCCAUCAUUAAGUUGGGCACUCUAAGUUGACUGCCGGUGACAAACCGGAGGAAGGUGGGGAUGACGUCAAAUCAUCAUGCCCCUUAUGAUUUGGGCUACACACGUGCUACAAUGGACAAUACAAAGGGCAGCGAAACCGCGAGGUCAAGCAAAUCCCAUAAAGUUGUUCUCAGUUCGGAUUGUAGUCUGCAACUCGACUACAUGAAGCUGGAAUCGCUAGUAAUCGUAGAUCAGCAUGCUACGGUGAAUACGUUCCCGGGUCU